UACGUAGGGGGCAAGCGUUGUCCGGAUUUAUUGGGCUUAAAGCGCGCGUAGGCGGCUCUGUAAGUCAGUGCUGAAAUAUCCCAGCUUAACUGGGAGGGUGGCAUUGAUACUGCGGGGCUAGAGUACAGAUGAGGUAGGCGGAAUUGACGGUGUAGCGGUGAAAUGCUUAGAUAUCGUCAAGAACACCUAUAGCGAAGGCAGCUUACUAGGCUGUAACUGACGCUGAGGCACGAAAGUGUGGGGAGCAAACAGG
rnacentral:rRNA from 1 species